rnacentral:rRNA from 1 species
CCGGGCAUCCUAGUAAGACGCGGAACACCCGAUCCCAUUCCGACCUCGAUAUGUGAAAAGCGUUUUCUACCAUAUGUACUGAUAAUUUUCGGGAGACGUGGUUGACAGCCCGG